rnacentral:rRNA from 1 species
UACGUAGGGUGCGAGCGUUGCCCGGAUUUAUUGGGCGUAAAGGGCGCGUAGGCGGCUCGGCACGUCCGUUGUGAAAUCGCCCGGCUCAACUGGGCGGGGUCGGCGGAUACGGCCGAGCUGGAGCAAGCGUAGGGGUAAGUAGGCGAAUUCCCGGUGUAGUGGUGGAAUGCGUAGAUAGUCGGGAGGAACACCAGUGGCGAAGGCGGUUACCUGGAGCUUUGCUGACGCUGAUGCGCGAAAGCGUGGGGAGCGAUCCGG